UAAUUUUAGGUUAAUAAAAUGAAAUAUUAAUAUUUUCUCGCCAAAAAAUUUCCCGCCAAAAAUUUUUCGAAAAAAAAUUUCCCGCCAAAAUUUUUCGAAAAAAUAUUUUUCCCAUCAAAAGUUUUUUUGGCAGGAAAUAGAUUUACAAGGGAUUUUAAAAGGGUUUUAAAAGAUUUACAAGGGAUUUUAAAAGUGUUUUAAAAUAUUUACAAGAGAUUUUAAAAGGGUUUUAAAAUAUUUACAAGGGAUUUUAAAAGAUUUACAAGAGAUUUUAAAAGGGCUUUAAAAGAUUUACAAAUGAUUUUAAAAUAUUUACAGGGAUUUUAAUGAGGUUUAAAAGAUUUACAAAGGUUUUUUAAAGAUUUUUAAAAGGUUUAAAUUUGUUUUAAAACGGUUUUAAAAUAUUUACAAGGGAUUUUAAAGGGCUUUAAAAGAUUUACAAAAGUUUUUAAAAUAGUUCAAAGGGUUUAAAAGUGUUUUAAAAGAUUUGCAAGGAGGGGUUUAAAAGAUUUCUAAGAGAUUUUUAAAGAGUUUAAAAGAGUUUUAAAAGAUAUACAAGAGUUUUUACAAGAUUUUUAAAGAAUUUACAAGAAAACCCUUGAAAAACUCUUGUAAAUCUUUUAAAACUCUUUUAAAAUCCCUUGUAAAUAUUUUAAAACCCUUUUAAAAUUUCUUAUAAAUCUUUUAAAACCCUUUUAAAAUCUCUUGUAAAUCUUUUAAAACCCUUUUAAAAUCUCUUGUAACUCUUUUAAAACCCUUUUAAAAUCCCUCGUAAAUCUAUUUCCAGCAAAAAAAAAAUUUACAAUGAUUUUUAAAAGCAUUUUUUUGGCUCAGAAAAAAAUUGUUACGAAAAAAAAAAUUGGCGGGAAACUUUUUUUUUUGGCCGGAAAAUAGUUUGGCGGAAAAUUUUUUUUUGGCGGAAAAAAUAAAAUUUGGCGGGAAAAUUUCAGUUUUCAAUUACAUGUUCCUACUAGAUGAGGGUGAUUUGGUCAUUCUGUUCAGGGGAAAGAGUAUUUUUAAAAAUGGACAAAAUAAAAAGGUAUUGUUGCAAAAGGGUAGUAAAAAAGGGGUAAUUUUGCAAAUCUCUAAAUUCAAAAUCCAAUAUGGUAAAAUCUAAAAUUUUGGAUUCGAUAUCAAAUCCAAUUUUUCGGAUACUCGGUUGCAGUUCUUUUUCCCAGCCCUAACGUAGCACGUGAUUCCUCUGCUUUGGUAUUUUACGUCACA
rnacentral:sRNA from 1 species